rnacentral:lncRNA from 1 species
ACAAAUGUUGAAGUAACUCAAGCAAGUAUAUAUGGUUAGGUUUGUUCAGUUUUGGCAGAAAUAAUGCAAAACUACCGGUCCUUGAUAAAAAUUCAAAACUAAGGAUAGGUUUCAGUUUGUUCUUGGUCAAUGUACAUUGGUUCUAUCGAAACUUUAAUUCAUGCAACAGAGUAUCUAACCAUGAUGUACCUUUCAUUUGCUUAUUCAUUGCAAAAGUGUAUACAGAUAAGGUAUAGAAGUCAUUGAGGUCCACUCCUUAGAUUGACUGCCAUUUUAUGUUUACUUCCUGGGGAUUGAAAAUUCUAUAUGUGGAUUAAUUUGAUGGCCAUUUUAUGUUUAGUCCCUAGCGUAUUCAUGUAUAUAAAGAACAUAGUUUGUUGUGUACAGAAUGAUGCCUGACUAUGUGUUCAGGGGAUAAAUGUAAAUGCUAUGUAUGAAGUAUGCACUAAACAUAAAAUAGCAUUUAUAGUGAACAUUAUUGUUAAACUCAAAAUGAUGCAUCGUUCGAACUGUGUAUGAUGUUGGUUGCAUAUUGACUAAAAAUUAUUUUCUUUAGUUUUAUAGGAGCUUUGUUGAAGACUUUAAAGACCUACAGUGGUAGAUUGGUGUCACCUGUCAACUUUUCAAUCACUGGAUUGGAUCCCAACACCAUGACAAUCAUUGUUCUUACUACUAGUUGGGAUGGAAUCUCACUAAAACCCCACUUAAGCCCUUGAAGGGGUUACCUUCAUAGGCCUUCAUUUGUUGGUAAAUUGACAAUUUUAUAAGGAUUUGAAGCUCUCCUAGAAAAAAAAUGAUGUGAAGUCCUCUAGAAAUGCUGGUUUAUAUUGCCUACAAGCAAUCUUUGUAGUUCAUCCUUUUCUUUCCGGCCAUUGUUCUGCCUCAACCACUUAUGCAAGGGUCUACUGGACCUUCUAAAUCUUCUCUUGAUUGUAUUUUGGAAUUUUUUGGUCCCCUUACAGGAUUUGGUGAUUAGCAGCAUGAUAGUAAGCCCAAAUUACCCUGACUUAACUCGAUCUUUGUUAAAACCUUCUCUUUGGCAUUUGAAUCCUCCAAUAUGCUAUCUUUAGCCUUACAAGCCAUUUUUGCCAACAUUUCCACUGCCAACUGUUGGUUUUGUUUGCCCUUUUCAGUUCCAUCUCUUUGCCUCUUUAGAGUAUGGCAAAUGAACAACAUGAUAGGUAUUUGCUUCAAUUUUCUCUAAAUCCAAUGGGAACAAUUUAAGCCCAAAAUUUUGUCCAUAUAUCUUUUUCUUGCUAUUUUUGCAUUAUUUUCUUCUAGCAACUUGUAACCUUGUUUAUAGUGUCCGUGAUGUAUGCGAAUUUG